rnacentral:rRNA from 1 species
UGGGGAAUAUUGCACAAUGGGCGCAAGCCUGAUGCAGCGACGCCGCGUGGGGGAUGACGGCCUUCGGGUUGUAAACUCCUUUCGCUAGGGACGAAGCUUUUUGUGACGGUACCUAGAUAAGAAGCACCGGCUAACUACGUGCCAGCAGCCGCGGUAAUACGUAGGGUGCGAGCGUUGUCCGGAAUUACUGGGCGUAAAGGGCUCGUAGGUGGUUUGUCGCGUCGUCUGUGAAAUUCCGGGGCUUAACUCCGGGCGUGCAGGCGAUACGGGCAUAACUUGAGUACUGUAGGGGUAACUGGAAUUCCUGGUGUAGCGGUGAAAUGAGCAGAUAUCAGGAGGAACACCGAUGGCGAAGGCAGGUUACUGGGCAGUUACUGACGCUGAGGAGCGAAAGCAGGGGUAGCGAACAGG